GGCCCUAUGGGGCGCAGCAGGCGAGAAAACUUUGCAAUGUGCGAAAGCACGACAAGGUUAAUCCGAGUGGUUUCUGCUAAAGGAACCUUUUGUUAGUCCUAGAAACACUAACGAAUAAGGGGUGGGCAAGUUCUGGUGUCAGCCGCCGCGGUAAAACCAGCACCUCAAGUGGUCAGGAUGAUUAUUGGGCCUAAAGCAUCCGUAGCCGGCUCUGUAAGUUUUCGGUUAAAUCUGUACGCUCAACGUACAGGCUGCCGGGAAUACUGCAGAGCUAGGGAGUGGGGAGAGGUAGACGGUACUCGGUAGGAAGGGGUAAAAUCCUUUGAUCUAUUGAUGACCACCUGUGGCGAAGGCGGUCUACCAGAACACGUCCGACGGUGAGGGAUGAAAGCUGGGGGAGCAAACCGGAUUAGAUACCCGGGUAGUCCCAGCUGUAAACUAUGCAAACUCAGUGAUGCAUUGGCUUGUGGCCAAUGCAGUGCUGCAGGGAAGCCGUUAAGUUUGCCGCCUGGGAAGUACGUACGCAAGUAUGAAACUUAAAGGAAUUGGCGGGGGAGCACCACAAGGGGUGAAGCCUGCGGUUCAAUUGGAGUCAACGCCAGAAAUCUUACCCGGAGAGACAGCAGAAUGAAGGUCAAGCUGAAGACUUUACCAGACAAGCUGAGAGGUGGUGCAUGGCCGUCGCCAGCUCGUGCCGUGAGAUGUCCUGUUAAGUCAGGUAACGAGCGAGAUCCCUGCCUCUAGUUGCCACCAUUACUCUCAGGAGUAGUGGGGCGAAUUAGCGGGACCGCUGCAGUUAAUGCGGAGGAAGGAAGGGGCCACGGCAGGUCAGUAUGCCCCGAAACUCUGGGGCCACACGCGGGCUGCAAUGGUAAUGACAAUGGGUUCCAAAUCCGAGAGGAGGAGGUAAUCCUCAAACAUUACCACAGUUAUGACUGAGGGCUGCAACUCGCCCUCACGAAUAUGGAAUCCCUAGUAACUGCGUGUCAUUAUCGCGCGGUGAAUACGUCCCUGCUCCUUGCACACACCGCCCGUCGUUUCAUUGAAGUGAGCUUUUAGCGAGGUGACGUCUGAUUGGCGUUAUCGAACUUGAGGUUCGUGACAAGGGAAAAGUCGUAACAAGGUAACC
rnacentral:rRNA from 1 species